UAAGAACAUUAAUGUUUUUGUGGCAUUGUGCUACGGAACCAGCCUGGCCCUCUCCAGGAACUGCAAAGUACAUUUGUCUGUAUGUACGAACUGAUUGGCAAGGACAUACAAACACAACUGGAAGAACAGUAACACAUGCUUCAGUUCUAAGCAAAGUCAAAGUCAACUCAUGAAAGGAUACAGACGACUAGACUCGAGAUGCCUUGAACUGGACUACAGGUUAAUCUGAGCGUGAGGGCAAUCCAUCAGUGCAUGAAGUCAAUGGACUUGUCAACAUGGAGGUUUAUGAGAACACAGAUAAGAAGCAGCAGGAUAAGAAAGCAGAACUCUUAAGUGAAGGAUUUCAUCCAAGUAUAUCAGUUAAUCAGCACCCUUUGAGAAUGCUCAGUAGAAGCUAUUAAAAAUAUAUACUAUUAAUC